UGUAGACGUAGGUCUUUAUUUCACAUUAAAAUGACUCUCACACAUUCUUAAAAAACAUUCCACAAACAAACGUUGCAUAAAAGGCCUCAGGACGUAUAGACCUUCUGCCCUCUGUUGUGUUCAUCUUCCUUCCUAUUGUGUUUUUUUCUCAGAAGCCUAAUAUCUAAAUAUAUAGACAUAGAACCCUUGACAAUGCUUUACUUCUGUGGCUCCUCUUACCCAUGGAGUCUUCUAAUUCUCAUUUACCUUUUGUGCAACUAAACCUUAAAAUGAAUUAAUAUUGAACACAUAUGAUGAGUGAAACACCACCAUGUGACUCAUAUUUCAUUUUAACAGAAUUUCCCCCAAAAAAUGCUUGUGAAAUCUGGUGCUUUAGACUGAGCUCUGUGAUGAGUGAGCAUCCCCAGCAGUUCAUCUUUAGUUUAUUUCCAAUCGCAUAGACUUGACAUGUUAUCUCCUUGUGGCUUGUGCUACAAAUUUUCCUUAUUACCUUUUGCCUCUGGACUUGAAUAUUUGUAUAAGGCCUGAUGUUGAUCCAAGCACAGACAGUGAAACUCAGUAUGAUCUACUCAUCUUCAGUUUGAUGUCUAUACUUCAUUUCAUAUUUAUUUAAAAAAUAAAUAUGUGCUUCAUUUUGGAUCAUGAUUUAUAAAGAUGAGCCAAAGAGCAGCCUAGACGAGAGCAAGUCAUAUGGAAUGGAGUCCAGCAACAGGAACCCUAGUGCAGUAUCAGAAAGUCAGGGCAAAGAGACAGGUCAGAAACCACGAUAACAAAAAACAUAUGUGUUAAAAUGUUUAUACAUGGAGAUCGACUUCUGCCUUUAGUGUCAUCAUGUUAAGGCAUGGAAGAUGUUGCUGCCAUGCUUAUAACAAGACAAAGCUGGAAAGUUGGAAAGCUGAAAAUCAAUGACUUUUCUUAUUAGACCUAUUAGAGAACCAAGGUCCUGAGCAAACUGCCACCCCAAAAUCUGGAGAUACAGAUACAUCCAGAGAGAUACGCAACCAAUAGCCAUUUAUCUGGAGUCAAAGCACUGGAGCCAUAAACUAGUAUGAGCCUUUAUAUGGUAAGUUGGGUGAAUUGCUGGCAUCUGUUUGUGGACUGGUGUGAGCAAGAAACCCAUGGGGGCUGUGCUCUUGAGGCACUCCACACAUUCAAGGGCUUUUCCAGUAGGAAACUCCAAGGUUCUCAUUAUGAGGAUCCAAGAAAAAUUUCCUCGUGGCUCUGGCAACAGAUAGAGAGGGACAUCCAUUGAGAAAUAAGCCAUGAACCUUCUUGGUAACAAAGAUGGAAAGGACUCUGCCAAGCACAAUUCCCAAACCUCAUCCCAGCCCCUGAAGUCUCCCUGUCCCACUUAAGGAAAGAGGGAAAAUAACAGUCAACAGGGGGCAGGCCUUCAAAGAAAUACAUUGGGAAUGCUGCAGCCAGGAAAGAGAGUUGAGGAUGAGGAAGCAAUACCACUGGAGAAGCUCUGUGAAUGUCCCAGACACAGACCCACUAAAAGACUGAGAUUUCACUGUAAGAUUACAGAGCACUCUCCUUUCCCACAGCUUAGUACUACACCAACAGGGCUCCAGUAUAGUAACAGUGAAUUGCAGAGGAAAGAGCUGAAAGACAGAAAGUCUCUCUGAAGAGGAGCACUUAGGGAAGCCUGAACUCAAGAAGGGGAAAAACAC
rnacentral:lncRNA from 10 species